CCCGGCUGUUUCCACUCGUGCCGUGAGGUGUUAGGUUAAGUCCUGCAACGAGCGCAACCCCUGUCACUAGUUGCCAUCAUUAAGUUGGGGACUCUAGUGAGACUGCCUACGCAAGUAGAGAGGAAGGUGGGGAUGACGUCAAAUCAUCACGGCCCUUACGCCUUGGGCCACACACGUAAUACAAUGGCCGGUACAGAGGGCAGCUACACAGCGAUGUGAUGCAAAUCUCGAAAGCCGGUCUCAGUUCGGAUUGGAGUCUGCAACUCGACUCUAUGAAGCUGGAAUCGCUAGUAAUCGCGCAUCAGCCAUGGCGCGGUGAAUACGUUCCCGGGCCUUGUACACACCGCCCGUCAAGCCAUGGAAGUCUGGGGUACCUGAAGUCGGUGACCGUAACAGGAGCGCCUAUAGAUACCAU
rnacentral:rRNA from 1 species